rnacentral:lncRNA from 1 species
CGAUAGUCUAUAACCAAAAUUCACAAAUGAAAUUCAAAUUUAUACCCCAAAAUAUUACAUUGACAUCCAACUACCAAAAUAAAGAUUAAAUUCAACUUACAAAAUAAUCAUUCAUAUUCGAUUUCUUAUUUCCUAAACCUAUUAACAAAAAUCAAAAGUUCCAAAGUCUAGUUAAGUGGGUAAGUUGUUUCCUUGAUCUUUAGGAGUAAGUUACACAUCCUGGCGAUUUCACUACUAGAAACUGGGACAUCGCAUUCUUCAAAUAGUUCCUCUCACUUCCUUACAAACAUGAUUGAGAUAACCUACAAAUACGAAACCCAAUCCAUAAAUAAAUAAAUAAAUGGAAGCAUAAUUCUAUAAUACUUAUGGUUAUUUUUUCUUUUUCUCAUUUUUUUUGGAACGGCAAAUACUAAACAGAAGCCCUUCCGCCUUUUACAUCGAAAGCCCGGGUUCAAGCUCCUUUACAGGGCAAACCCUCACCCUUUUUAAUGGGAUUCCAAAGGAAAAUUUCUCAUGAGUGGCCACCAAUGGCAGUCGAACUCCCCACCUUGCUCCUAAAUGGUUAUAAACCCAACACCUCUUUUGAGCUGGGUUGGGCUUCAUUGGUUGCUUUUUCUCAUUUAUACAACAUUACCGAAAUUAAGUUCCAUUAAAAAAGUUAAAAAGCAUGCAACUGUCUACCUACAUUAACUACAUUAACUUCACAGAAAUGUUUGUUUUAGUUGUUUCACUAUUUGCAAAGAACAUGCCCGCAAAUGGAAUGGAAUGGAUUAUACAUUAUGCUUUCAUCUAUGAAAUAUAUGUCAUCUACAACCACAUAUUUUGCCAAGUUUUUUAUGUACAACACAGGAAUACGACUUACUACAUUAUAAUUUUACAAAAAGUAAUGCAAACUUACAAUAAGUGUAUAUCUUAAUUACUCUAUAAAGGUAAGAAUUACCACGUACCUUACUACAUCCAACCUUUUCCUAGAAAGUAUCAAGUAUUUGUGAACAUGAAAUUUAAUUACCUCAGCUAAAGACUCAAACAUUAAUUCACCACUAGAAAGAUCUGCAACAGGAGAGUUUGUACACACACAAAUUCCUACAUUAGAGUAUACACACAUAGAGAUAUAUAAAUCAACUAAUUUAGUUAAGAACCUUCCACUCCCAUUCUUGAACCUUCCUCACAAACAUCAAACAAAACAUGCACCAACUAAAACGAACCAAAAAAUUUAGAAAGAAAAAACAGAACAACUUAUGUUUCUACGAAAUAAAACACACAGUUAGAUAGAUAGAGAGGAAAACCUUGGUGAGGAAUUAAGAUUUUCGUGAGAAAGGUUGAGAUGGUGGUUCAUGGGAUUUCAGUCUCGGCGGUGAUGAAGUGGUCAAAAGGAAUCAGAUGCGGUGGUCCUACUCUCGUCUUCAUGUUUCUCUCUGUCCUUUGCUUCUUCCCAUAUCUAAAAGUCGGAAUAGAAGAAAAGAAGCCACAUACGAACUGAAGAAGAUGAGCGAUUAAAUCAACAACACAUUAGCUACAGGAAAGAAGCCAAUGACAUAGAAACUUACUAGGGUUAAAUUUCAUCUACAGGAAGGGUCAUCGUGAUUUCGAGGGUCUUGGCUAGGGUUUCCUUCUGUUGGAAUCGAGUUUUAGGAACAUACAGAAGACGACUAUUAGUAUCGAUUUGGGAUGAGUGCCGAUUUGCAAGACGAGUGUCGAUUUGGGCUUUGGAUUUCAGAAACAAGCAUGAGAGAUAACUGGUGAAUGUCGAUUUAGGAGGAAGAAUGGGGGGAAAUGAAAAUAAUUAGGAUGAGGAGCGGGGGAAAUGAAAUAUUUGGCAGGGGCUUAACAAAAAUUAGCGAUUGAAAUAUUUGUGAGUUUUUGAUUCCGUCACUAAUCCCUUUCUAAUCUCUCGCUAACAUGCUAAAAUUUACACCAUAUCUACAAAAAUAAUUUUCGUCGCAGAUUCCUUGUAAAUCCGUCACUAAUUAGCUAGGGAUUUAUUCCGUCG